GUAAACGGCGGCCGUAACUAUAACGGUCCUAAGGUAGCGAAAUUCCUUGUCGGGUAAGUUCCGACCCGCACGAAUGGCGUAACGAUGGCCACACUGUCUCCUCCCGAGACUCAGCGAAGUUGAAGUGGUUGUGAAGAUGCAAUCUACCCGCUGCUAGACGGAAAGACCCCGUGAACCUUUACUGUAGCUUUGCAUUGGACUUUGAAGUCACUUGUGUAGGAUAGGUGGGAGGCUUUGAAGCAGAGACGCCAGUCUCUGUGGAGCCGUCCUUGAAAUACCACCCUGGUGUCUUUGAGGUUCUAACCCAGACCCGUAAUCCGGGUCGGGGACCGUGCAUGGUAGGCAGUUUGACUGGGGCGGUCUCCUCCCAAAGAGUAACGGAGGAGUUCGAAGGUUACCUAGGUCCGGUCGGAAAUCGGACUGAUAGUGCAAUGGCAAAAGGUAGCUUAACUGCGAGACCGACAAGUCGAGCAGGUGCGAAAGCAGGACAUAGUGAUCCGGUGGUUCUGUAUGGAAGGGCCAUCGCUCAACGGAUAAAAGGUACUCCGGGGAUAACAGGCUGAUUCCGCCCAAGAGUUCAUAUCGACGGCGGAGUUUGGCACCUCGAUGUCGGCUCAUCACAUCCUGGGGCUGUAGUCGGUCCCAAGGGUAUGGCUGUUCGCCAUUUAAAGUGGUACGUGAGCUGGGUUUAAAACGUCGUGAGACAGUUUGGUCCCUAUCUGCAGUGGGCGUUGGAAGUUUGACGGGGGCUGCUCCUAGUACGAGAGGACCGGAGUGGACGAACCUCUGGUGUACCGGUUGUAACGCCAGUUGCAUAGCCGGGUAGCUAAGUUCGGAAGAGAUAAGCGCUGAAAGCAUCUAAGCGCGAAACUCGCCUGAAGAUGAGACUUCCCUUGUGGUUUAACCACACUAAAGAGUCGUUCGAGACCAGGACGUUGAUAGGUGGGGUGUGGAAGCGCGGUAACGCGUGAAGCUAACCCAUACUAAUUGCUCGUGAGGCUUGACUCU
rnacentral:rRNA from 1 species